rnacentral:rRNA from 1 species
UACGUAGGGGCUAGCGUUGUCCGGAAUCAUUGGGCGUAAAGCGCGUGUAGGCGGUCCGGUAAGUCCGCUGUGAAAGUCGAGGGCUCAACCCUCGAAUGCCGGUGGAUACUGUCGGGCUAGAGUACGGAAGAGGCGAGUGGAAUUCCUGGUGUAGCGGUGAAAUGCGCAGAUAUCAGGAGGAACACCAAUUGCGAAGGCAGCUCGCUGGGACGUUACUGACGCUGAGACGCGAAGGCGUGGGGAGCAAACAGG